GCUCACUGAAAAUUAAAGAGCCGCGGUAUUUUGACCGUGCAAAGGUAGCAUAAUCAUUAGUAUAUUAAUUGUGUACUGGAAUGAAAGGUUUGACGAGAGAUAUGCUGUCUCUAUUUUAUUUAUAUAAUUUUACUUUCUAGUCAAAAGGCUGGAAUUUUUUUUUAGGACGAUAAGACCCUAUAGAGUUUGAUUUUAUUUAUUUUAUUAUUUUGGGUUAAUUUUUAUUAAUUAAUUUUAUUAUGAAUUUUGUUGGGGUGAUGUGAAUAAUAGAUAAACUAUUCAUUUUUUUUUCAUUGAUUUAUGUUUUUUAUGAUCUUGUAUUAUUGAUAUUAAGAUAAAAUUACCUUAGGGAUAACAGCGCAAUUAUCUUUGAGAGUUCUUAUUGACAAGAUAGAUUGUGACCUCGAUGUUGGAUUAAGGUUAUUUUUAGGUGGAGGUGCUUAAUUGAAUUGGUCUGUUCGACCAUUAAAACCUU
rnacentral:rRNA from 1 species